AGGUAAGCUACUAAGAGCGAAUGGUGGAUGCCUUGACUGGUAAAGGCGAUGAAGGACGUACUAGACUGCGAUAAGCUACGGGGAGCUGUCAAGAAGCUUUGAUCCGUAGAUUUCCGAAUGGGGCAACCCAAUGUAUAGAGAUAUACAUUACCUAUAUAGGAGCGAACGAGGGGAAUUGAAACAUCUUAGUACCCUCAGGAAAAGAAAUCAAUAGAGAUUGCGUCAGUAGCGGCGAGCGAAAGCGCAAGAGGGCAAACCCAGUGCUUGCACUGGGGGUUGUAGGACUGCAAUGUGCAAGAGGUGAGUUUAGCAGAACAUUCUGGAAAGUAUAGCCAUAGAGGGUGAUAGUCCCGUAUGCGAAAAACAAACCUUAGCUAGCAGUAUCCUGAGUAGGGCGGGACACGAGAAAUCCUGUCUGAAGCUGGGUCGACCACGAUCCAACCCUAAAUACUAAUACCAGAUCGAUAGUGCACAAGUACCGUGAGGGAAAGGUGAAAAGAACUGAGGUGAUCAGAGUGAAAUAGAACCUGAAACCAUUUGCUUACAAUCAUUCAGAGCCCUAUGUAGCAAUACAGGGUGAUGGACUGCCUUUUGCAUAAUGAGCCUGCGAGUUGUGGUGUCUGGCAAGGUUAAGCAAACGCGAAGCCGUAGCGAAAGCGAGUCUGAAUAGGGCGCUUAGUCAGAUGCUGCAGACCCGAAACGAAGUGAUCUAUCCAUGAGCAAGUUGAAGCUAGUGUAAGAACUAGUGGAGGACUGAACCCAUAGGCGUUGAAAAGCCCCGGGAUGACUUGUGGAUAGGGGUGAAAGGCCAAUCAAACUUCGUGAUAGCUGGUUCUCUCCGAAAUAUAUUUAGGUAUAGCGUUGUGUCGUAAUAUAAGGGGGUAGAGCACUGAAUGGGCUAGGGCAUACACCAAUGUACCAAACCCUAUCAAACUCCGAAUACCUUAUAUGUAAUCACAGCAGUCAGGCGGCGAGUGAUAAAAUCCGUCGUCAAGAGGGAAACAACCCAGACUACCAGCUAAGGUCCCUAAAUCUUACUUAAGUGGAAAACGAUGUGAAGUUACUUAAACAACCAGGAGGUUGGCUUAGAAGCAGCCAUCCUUUAAAGAAAGCGUAAUAGCUCACUGGUCUAGUGAUUUUGCGCGGAAAAUAUAACGGGGCUAAAGUAAGUACCGAAGCUGUAGACUUGCGCACAACUUAGAUUAUUUAAGUUUAGAAUAUGAGAAACUAAGUUAUAUGUUUAGUUAUAUUUUUACUGAUUUUUAUAGAGUAAAGAUAGAAAUAAAACUUAGUAAAAUCAGUAAAAAUAUUCUUAGACUAAAGUUAAGUAGUUUAAGUUGUGUGCAAGUGGUAGGAGAGCGUUCUAUUUGCGUCGAAGGUAUACCGGUAAGGAGU
rnacentral:rRNA from 1 species